UAUAGAGGGUCUAUACAAGGGCGAUGUACUUGAGGACAAUAUUAUGGAAAUGGAAGAGGAUGUACGUGAAGAUGAAUUUGGAGAUACGAUAUUGCGUGAAGAGUUUGACAGAGCACUGAAAGACCUGAGUCGAAACAAGACCGUGGCAGUAGACAACAUUCCAUUAGAACUACUGACAGCCUUGGGAGAGCCAGUCCUGACAAAACUCUACCAUCUGGUGAGCAAGAUGUAUGAGACAGGCGAAAUUCCCUCAGACCUCAAGAAGAAUAUAAUAAUUCCAAUCCCAAAGAAAACAGGUGUUGACAGAUGUGAAAAUUACCAAACUAUCAGUUUAAUAAGUCACAGCUGCAAAAUAUUAACGAGAAUUCUUUACAGACAAAUGGAAAAACUAGUAGAAGCCAACCUCGGGGAAGAUCGGUUUGGAUUCCGUAGAAAUGUUGGAACACGUGAGGCAAUACUGACCCUACGACUUAUCUUAGGAGCUAGAUUAAGGAAGUGCAAACCUACGUUUCUAGCAUUUGUAGACUUAGAGAAAGCUUUUGACAACGUUGACUGGAAUACUCUCUUUCAAAUUCUAAAGGUGGCAGGGGUAAAAUACAGAGAGAGAAAGGCUAUUUACAAUUUGUACAAAAACCAGAUGGCAGUUAUAAGAGUCGAGGGACAUGAAAGGGAAGCAGUGGUUGGGAAGGGAGUGAGACAGGGUUGUAGUCUCUCCCCAAUGUUAUUCAAUCUGUAUAUUGAGCAAGCAGUGAAGGAAAGAAAAGAAAAAUUCGAGUAGGUAUUAAAAUCCAUAGAGAAGAAAUAAAAACUUUGAGGUUUGCCGAUGACAUCGUAAAUCUGGCAGAGACAGCAAAGGACUUGGAAUAGCAGUUGAACAGAAUGGACAGUGUCUUGAAAGGAGGGUAUAAGAUGAACAUCAACAAAAGCAAAACGAGGAUAACGGAAUGUAGUCGAAUUAAGUCGAGUAAUGCUGAGGGAAUUAGAUUAGGAAAUGAGACACUUAAAGUAGUAAAGGUGUUUUGAUAUUUGGGGAGCAAAAUAACUGAUGAUGAUCGAAGUAGAGAGGAUAUAAAAUGCAGACUGGCAAUGGCAAGGAAAGCGUUUCUAAAGAAGAGAAAUUUGUUAACAUUGAGCAUAGCUUUAAGUGUCAGGAAGUCGUUUCUGAAAGUAUUUGUAUGGAGUGUAGCCAUGUAUGGAAGUGAAACAUGGACGAUAAAUAGCUUGGACAAGAAGAGAAUAGAAGCUUUCGAAAUGUGGUGCUGCAGAAGAAUGCUGAGGAUUAGAUGGGUGGAUCACAUAACUAAUGAGGAAGUAUUGAAUAGGAUUGGGGAGAAGAGAAGUUUGUGGCACAACUUGACCAGAAGAAGGGAUCGGUUGGUAGGACAUGUUCUGAGGCAUCAAGGGAUCACCAAUUUUGCAUUGGAGGGCAGCGUGGAGGGUAAAAAUUGUAGAGAGAGACCAAGAGAUGAAUACACUAAGCAGAUUCAGAAGGAUGUAGGUUGCAGUAGGUACUGGGAGAAGAGGAAGCUUGCACAGGAUAGAGUAGCAUGGAGAGCAGCAUCAAACCAGUCUCAGGACUGAAGACCACAACAACAAUGGCAGAUAUAAAAAAGGUUUACAAAAUAGUUGUUUCUGUAAUUGUGAUCUCUGACAAAAGGAGAUUUAAGUGGACUGUACCAGUUAAAAAUAUCAGAAGUGAGGAAGAUUUGGUCGUAAAGAAGGUCGUAAAGCAGUGACAAGUGAAUAUAGGGACAGCGGUAGUCAUUAUUGUUGCUUCAGCAGAUAUGUCAUCAACUGUCUUUUGAAACUGGACAUGUUAUUCAGGUCUCUAAUAUAAAUGAGGUUUUGAGACAGUGACUGAGUGAGGAAGUGGGGUAGAAAUGAUUUUGCUAUGAUGGGAACAGGUGUUUCUGUCAUGUUGUUCAGACAAGAGCAUUAAGGUCAAAGAGAGAUAUGAGGGUCAGUGUGUGUUGAUAAGACAAGAGAGGAGAUAGGGUGCAUGGAAAUCUUUGCAUACAGCCAGGAUAGCUAUGCAUAUAAUGGUGAAAUAUGAUGUAAGAGAUGAACGUCACAGAUAUAUUGAACACAGCAUUCAUAACCAAUUCCAGGUGCCAUGAGCUAUCCUGAAAAAGACCUCGUAGGAUAACAUCACUGUAAUCAAUAAUUGCAAGUACUAGUGUUACACAACUUCCUUUUUCAGGUCAAAAGGAAAGAGCUUUGUAUAUUUUUGUAGGGCAUGGAGAGAUGCUGAUGCCUUCUUGCACAUCACAGUUGCAUGCUCAGUCCAGAUUUGACUUAAAUAGUCUCUUUUCUGAAGGAGAGAGGUUGAUAUUUGUUUCCUUUAGGAUUAAAGGUCGUAGGAAAUCCUGAUUCUUUCAGCUAAUGAGCUUAGAAUGACCAGCCAGCACUGCUUGGAUCUUGUAUAGGUUGAGCUUUAACACUAUAUUCUGUGCCCAAUGCUCAGCUUGAUUAUAAGAAGGAGUCAGAUGACAGGACACAUACUGAGGAUUCUGGGAACCAUUAAUGUGAUAAAGGAGGGAAGCAUUGGGUAAAAAUUCUAGAUGGAAACACGGUUUCGGUACAGCAAGCAGACAGAAGUGAAUGUAGGGUGUACAGACUUGCACAGGAUAGCAACAAUUUAGCUCAUGCACUACAACCUCCUUCAGUCCUGUCAUGAGCAUUUCCUACCCCACCAAUAUACUUACAACUUACCUGCAACCACUAUGUGGCAUUUUCUGUGGGUAUGACCAUUAAUAAGCUGUCUGUAUUCCUACUGGCCAAAUUGUGGCUGAAAGACAAUUGAUGCACCCAAUUACCGAGCAUAGCAGGCAACACAGUAUGCUCUACUUCAAUGACUGCUUCACAGCCCAAGCCAUCUGGUUUCUUCCCACCAACAUUUCUGAAAUGGACAUGUGGGAACUCUCUCUGUAAAAUAUCCUUUAUUCCUAUAACAUAUUUUCUCCCUCCCUCCCCAUCUACCCCCUGGCCUCAACCUUUGCUAGUCCCUCUGUCUGCAUCAAUAUUACUUCAGUAUCAAAUAUGCACCCCAGCAAUUUUUUUCCACUUGGCUAUUUCUCUCCUCUACCACUGUUAACAUCAAGUAUAGAUUUAAGUGUCAGGAAGUCUUUUCUCAAAGUAUUUGUACAGAGUGCAGCAAUGUAUGGAUGUGAAAUGUGGACGAUAAAUAGUUUAGACAAGAAGAGAAUAGAAGCAUUCAAUAGAUCAUGUAACAAAUGAGGAGGCACUGAAUUGAACUGGGGAUAAGAGAAAUUUGUAGCACAAUUUAUCUCGAAGAAGGGAUCGGUUGGUAGAACAUGUUCUGAGGCAUCAAGGGAUCACCAAUUUAGUAUUGGAGGGUGGCGUGGCGGGUAAAAAUCAUAGAGGGAGAGCAGGAGAUGAAUACACUAAGCAGAUUCAGAAGGAUGUAGGGUGCAGUAAUUACUUGGUAAUGAAGAAGUUUGCACAGGAUAGAGUAGUGUGGAGAGCUGCAAUAAAUCAGUCUCUGUACUGAAGACCACAACACAACACCACUGCCUCUUCCCCUACCUCCCCAGUGAUGCUGGAGUCCCUAUUAUCCCUGUCGUCUCCCCCCCCCCUCCUCCCCCCCCAAAUAUUGUCUCUUUUGUGCCUGUCACUGCUCAGUGCCUCUCCUAUGUAGUGAGAGUAGUAAUCUAUCACACUGGAAAACAUAUUUGGAAAUGGAUCAGAGUUUUAUGCUUCAAUAAUGUCAUCACAUUUCUCAUACAGAAUGGUCUUCACUUAAAAUUGAUAGUACAUGUAUCAUUUUUCAAGUAUUAAAUAUUAAGGAAGAGCAAAUCAGAUAUUCAGAACAGUUUUUAUUUGACUGUGAACAAGAUUUGUACUUGUGUCUUACAACUGAGACCACUACGUGACACCAUCUACAUAUGACAGCAUUAUGCAUUUGGUGUCACUUUUAGACAUGAAAAUUUAAAUAGUGCAGUGAAAUAUACUCCUAACUUUACAUGAAACAUACAGGUACAUAAAUUACAAUGACUAAAAUAAAUCAAGACCUGAAAAAUGCUACUGUGUUCAACUGCCAUGUAAACAAUUUACACCAAUGUUGAGUCAUCCAAUAAGUGCAUAUAAAAGUGUAAUUUAUGAUACAGCA